AAUUACAGAGAAAGUCUUUUUGGCAUCCAGAAGAUGAAACUCAGCUCAAAUUACUACAAACUUCAAGUUAAAAGUUGCGCGCAUACUUUUUGGUUUGCUAUCAAAAGCUUGUGAAAAUAACAAGAGGCCUAGGUGGAUUUUUUCUGAAAAUUGGCAAAAGUUAACUAUCCAUUGGGCGACCGAUUUAAGGUUCGAGCAGACGAGAGGGAUUGGAAAAGGAGUUUGGGAAGCUGAUAACGUAGGCUGAGUCUUUCAAGGCUACAUACAUAAGGAAAAAGAAAACCCCUGGAGAUCCUGAUGUUUAGGUUAAGCCACGAGCUGAAAUGACCUAUGUGAUAGUCAAGACCUGCAAUUUAGCCAAGAGCAGAAUGAGAGAAUAUGGUUAGAUGCGGAUGGUGGUCAGAGUAGGUAUGAGUAUGCUUAUGGCUUGCCUCAACAAACCUUUCAUGAAUUUCAUUCGGGACCAGAAAGCCUCGGUAGCUCCCAGGAUGAUGAGUUAAGGGAAAUGAUUUUAGCUUUGAAGAAGCAGAUAGCUGAGCUAUCUAAUGAAGCUAAGGCCUUACAUGCAAGGGAAAGGCAAAGGGAUAUAUAGUAUGUGGUAAUGAAGGCCCAAUUUGAUGCAUUACUUGCUUUAAGGGGGGAAGAUUUUCCCUUGUCUUGGUGACACAGUUCGCCCUCCUCGACCACCCCCGUCUCUACCUAUUUCACAUGGAGUAUAUGGUCAAUAUAGAGAUGUAACUGAGGAGCCCAGCAGUGAUGAAAAUGAUAAGGAUUAUUAUGUGGACAAUGCAU